rnacentral:rRNA from 1 species
AGGACGAACGCUGGCGGCGUGCCUAACACAUGCAAGUCGAGCGAGGAGAUCCUUCGGGAUGAUCCUAGCGGCGGACGGGUGAGUAACACGUGGGCAACCUGCCUCAUAGAGAGGAAUAGCCUUCCGAAAGGGAGAUUAAUACCUCAUAACAUUGCAGUUUCGCAUGGAACAGCAAUUAAAGGAGCAAUCCGCUAUGAGAUGGGCCCGCGGCGCAUUAGCUAGUUGGUGAGGUAACGGCUCACCAAGGCGACGAUGCGUAGCCGACCUGAGAGGGUGAUCGGCCACAUUGGGACUGAGACACGGCCCAGACUCCUACGGGAGGCAGCAGUGGGGAAUAUUGCACAAUGGGGGAAACCCUGAUGCAGCCAACGCCGCGUGAGUGAUGACGGCCUUCGGGUUGUAAAGCUCUGUCUUCAGGGACGAUAAUGACGGUACCUGAGGAGAAAGCCACGGCUAACUACGUGCCAGCAGCUGC